rnacentral:lncRNA from 1 species
GGAAGGCGGAGGGAGGGGAAGACCUGGCGGAAGCCUCAUACCCCAGCAGCCUCAGCACCAGCUGAGUUUCGGGAAGAAGCAUUCAGAGGAUUCUGUGAACUUUCUUCUAAGCAUCCUCUCUCAGGUUCCCCGUUUGAGUAAAAGAAGGGGACCGGCCAGGCACCGGGAGCACAGGACAGGAAACCACAGAGGAUGCUGCCCCGGGAUCCAGGAGCCAUGGAGAACGAGAAGCCGGGGGAGGGGAAGUGCCGGGGAGGCAAUCUGUUCUGAAGCAGCAAGCGGGAUUCCAGGAUGAGGGAGGGAGACCCACGUCUGCUGCAGAUUGAUGGCUGUGUCCUUGGAACAGAGUAAGUGGGCUCCUGAGGGCCUAUGGGAGUGCAAGGGGGGACCUUGGGGUUCAGAAAAAUGGGUCUGGAUAAAGGAGCUGGGUGAUUUCCCGGUGGGCGGGAUUGAGGCUAGAAGUGCUGGGAGGGGAGGCAUUGCCGGACCGAGGGGGUUAGGGAGGACAAGUGAGGACAGCCAGGGGCCACAGAGGAUGCGGGGGGCCACAGGGGAUGCGGUGGACGGCAGAGCUGAGACACCGGGUAUGUCAUCUCUCUCUCUGCCUGACCAAAUGUGGACGUGGGCUCACACUGGGGAACAGAGAGCAGAGUGGGGUGCUUGUAGAAAGGGGGCUGGGAUUAGGGGUGUGCAGGAGGGUGGAACACGGGGGGCGGGGGGGGGCGGACUGGAAAGGGGGUUCUGCAGUGCGUGUGCAGAAGGCAGUUGGACAGAAAACUGGGAGGUGUGAGCACAGGGCAGGGCAAAAUGUGGGGAGAUCACAGGAGAACAAUGUGUGUGUGUGUGUGUGUGUGUGUGUGUGUGAAUGAGAGAGAGAGAGAGAGAGAGGAGGGAGAAGGUAAGGGAGGGAGAGGGUGAGGGGGGGGGGAGUGCUAACCCUGUUUGAAAGGGGUAUGCAAACAGCCAGCCUGGCUGUGCCUGUUUUAGGGAGUUGCCCAGGGGUGGGGUGUUUGGUGCUGAGGGGCGAGGCUGGGAGGAGAAGCGAAUGCAUCUCGCCCAGGACAGAACCCCGGGAGGAGGACAGGCAACCACAGUGUGAGGGUGGGGUCUGAGCCCAGCGCUGCCCACACCUGACACACAGCAUGCAGAGAAAACGCUGUGGCUGGUGGCAGAGAAGAAGGGGGCCAGGGAACCUAGGAAGGACAGUAGGGAGGCGAGGGCACUGGAGAUCUCCGCCUGAGUGCUUUCCUUGUUGACAGAGGGAAUUCUGCCCCCGCCUGCUGAACGCAGAGCUGGGCUGGGAGAGAGGCACUGGCCGGGGAGAAGUGGCCAAAGCGGUCCUAGCUGAUCUCCAUCCUGCUUCUCCAGGAC